GUUGGUGAGCAGACGAAACAUCGAAAGAGCCUUGCGCAGUCUAGCUGCAUUUAGCCAGAUAUACUAGUAGAACCCAAAACAUUGUUUUGACAAGUACUGUCAUAUUUCGGUUGCAGGUUUUCACUAAAUACCUACAUUGUUGAACAUCCUUCUUCCACUUGAACAAGUAAAUGGCUCUUGUUGAAAUCUGCUGUUUCAGGCCAGAAAAGUAUAGCAUCGCUGAAGAAGAGCUGCAGUUUGUUGCUGGAUAAACCUAAAAGUGUUAUGGUAGCAUCUUAAAUCAGUUGGUGAAUUUUACACCCCCGUGGAAUGACAUUACUAAUCAGUAACCUAUUGUAAUAAACCCAUAAGCAUUGGAAAUGAUUGCAAUCAUUGAUUAGCUAAUGCUCAUGGUCAUGCAACUCAGGAUGCUAUAAAAAUUGACUGGAGCAAGAAUAUUUGUCAACAAACUUCAGAAAUUACUACCAGUUCCUUGCGACAUUAAGAAACUGAAAAACAACAUUAGAUAAUGAUUUGAUGAAGUACUUUUAAUGCCCUCUGUUU